CAUAGCGACUAUCGUGGCAUAUCAAUAAGCGGAGGAAAAGAAACUAACAAGGAUUCCCUUAGUAACGGCGAGUGAAGCGGGAAGAGCUCAAAUUUGAAAUCUUCAAGGUUCUACCUUGACGAAUUGUAGUUUAUAGAAGUGUUUUCUGUUAGUGGAGUGGCAAAAGUUCUUUGGAAUAGGACAUCAUAGAGGGUGAGAAUCCCGUAUUUGGUCAUUCCUCCUAGCGUUGUGAUACACUUUCAACGAGUCGGAUUGUUUGGGAAUGCAGUCCAAAAUGGGUGGUAAAUUUCAUCUAAAGCUAAAUAUUGGCGAGAGACCGAUAGCGAACAAGUACUCGUGAGGGAAAGAUGAAAAGAACUUUGAAAAGAGAGUUAAACAGUACGUGAAAUUGUCAAAAGGGAAGCGUUUGACACCAGUGUUGUUUUUCCGAAAAUCAAUUACGAAUGUUUUGUUUUUGAAGGAGUUAUGACUUCAUCGGCUUGCUCCUUUCUUUACGAAACUUUCUUAAUGCACUUUUCGGUUAACAAGUCAACAUCAAUUUCUUUUGUUGUAAAAGGGUAUGAGGAAGGUGGCUUUCUUUUCGGAGAAAGUGUUUAUAGCCUUGUGCCUCUGCAAUCGGAGAGAUUGAGGUCUGCAGCGUAGAUCCUUCGGGGUUAGAUACGUUUGUGCUAAGUUAUAGCUUUUCAUAGACAACUUGUUGACUAUGUUUAGUCUUGUAGCUUACUCGCUGACGCUAUUUUACCUACGCUUAGGAUGUUGAUAGUCACAGCGUGUAC
rnacentral:rRNA from 1 species